rnacentral:snoRNA from 1 species
CUUCUUCUUUACUGAUACGCUUCCCAUUCACUGCACCAUUCUUUAUCGUGAAUGACUGGAGGGGAAAGGGAAGCAAGAAGAACUCGAACGACGACUCAUACCAAGUACGCCGCAGCCCAUGGUGUAUUUGGAUUCUGCGUCCUCGAAACAUGG